rnacentral:rRNA from 1 species
CACGUAGGGCGCGAGCGUUGUCCGGAAUUAUUGGCGUAAAGAGCUCGUAGGCGGCCUGUUGCGUCCGCUGUGAAAGCCCCGGGGCUUAACCCCGGGUCGGCAGUGGAUACGGGCAGGCUAGAGGUAGGUAGGGGAGAAUGGAAGUUCCGGUGGUAGCGGUGAAAUGCGACAGAUAGUCGGGAGGAACACCGGUGGCGAAGGCGGUUCUCUGGGCCGUUACCUGACGCUGAGGCAGCGAAAGCGUGGGGAGCGAACAGG